GCCUUGUCAGAAGGAGCAGGGCUAGGCACUUUCUCAGACGGGGCCUUGUCAGAUGGGACGAGACUAAGUGCCCUUUCAGAUGGCGCCUUUUCUGAUAAUGUUGGACUUGGUGCCUUCUCAGAUGGUACCGGACUGGACGCUUUUUCAGAUGGGGCUUUCUCAGAUGGUACCGGGCUAGAUGCCUUUUCAGAUGGAGCUUUGUCUGAUGGCGUAGGACUUGGAGCUGUAUCAGAUAGAAUUAGGCUUCCUGCCCUCGAAGUCGGCGCUUUUCCUGAUAGAGUUGGGCUUGGCGCUUUGUCAGACGGUACUGGACUGUGUGCUUUCUCC